GCAUUGUGUCAAUAAUAAGUGUUGCUGUGAAGAGAACAAUAGUCAGACUGAAUGUUGAACAUCAGCUAGUUUCUCCUGCUGAUUUAAACCUUGUUGGACAGAUGGAACAUUGGCUGUGGAUUAUUCUAGCUGCUCUUUUCUUUGAGUGUAAAGGAGACUCAGUGACGCAGACAGAAGGACAUGUUGCUGCUGCUGAAGGAGAAUCAGUGACUCUGGGAUGUUCUUAUAAAAGCAGUGUAACAUCAACAUUGUUCUGGUAUAAACAAAAAGAAAACAGCUUCCCACAGUACAUGCUGAAACGAGUUUCAUCAGAGGGAGAUAACGCUCCUGAAUUCAGCAAAAACAAAUUUCAAGCAGAGGUCAAGAACUCAGCGUUUAAUCUGACGAUCCAGGAUCUCCGUCUGUCAGACUCUGCUGUGUACUACUGUGCUCUGAGGCCCACAGUGACAGGAAACACCAGAACUCUGUACAAGAACCUGAACUACUCCAGAACCUCCACUAGAGGGCCUCACACACCGUUCUACCUCUUUGUCUUGUUCAAAUUCCAUCUCAAACCAGAUCACAAUAUUGAUGUCUUUCUACUGUAA